CCUACGGGAGGCAGCAGUGGGGAAUCUUUCACAAUGGGCGAGAGCCUGAUGGAGCAACGCCGCGUGCAGGAUGAAGGCCUUCGGGUUGUAAACUGCUUUUAUAAGCGGGAAAUAUGAUGGUACCUUAUGAAUAAGGAUCGGCUAACAACGUGCCAGCAGCCGCGGUCAUACGUAGGAUCCGAGCAUUAUCCGGGGUGACUGGGUGUAAAAAGUUGCGUAGGUGGCAUAAUAAGUAGCUAGUGAAAUCUGGUGGCGCAACCAUUCAGACUAUUAGCUAAACUGUUAAGCUUGAGUCCGUUGGUGGUAACCGGAAUUUCUAGUGUAGGAGUGAAAUCCGUAGAUAUUAGAAAGAACACCAAUAGCGUAGGCAGGUUACUGGGACGGGUCUGACACUAAGGCACGAAAGCGUAGGGAGCAAACGGGAUUAGAUACCCUUGUAGUC
rnacentral:rRNA from 1 species